UGUUAAAAUUUUUAUCUAAUUAUACUGUUAAAAAUUGGUGUGACUAAUAAAAUAAUCAAAAUAUAACACGUAACGUGACACAUGUAUCUCAUAUUGACUUACCAAGACCUAUUUUAAAUAAUAUAAAUAGAUAAAAACUUUAAUA
rfam:Gossypium raimondii Chr07_contig_805, whole genome shotgun sequence.